rnacentral:rRNA from 1 species
UACCAGCACCCCGAGUGGUCGGGACGAUUAUUGGGCCUAAAGCAUCCGUAGCCGGUCCUACAAGUCUUCCGUUAAAUCCACCUGCUUAACAGAUGGGCUGCGGAAGAUACUAUAGGGCUAGGAGGCGGGAGAGGCAAGCGGUACUCAGUGGGUAGGGGUAAAAUCCUCUGAUCCAUUGAAGACCACCAGUGGCGAAGGCGGCUUGCCAGAACGCGCUCGACGGUGGGGGAUGAAAGCUGGGGGAGCAAACCGG